AGCCAUUGAUGACAAACUUUUUAUUUCUGACACCUCGUAUGAGAGCUAUUCAUUAGCUCCUGUGAUUCUAUUUAUCUUCUGAGGCCUU
ensembl:snoRNA small nucleolar RNA SNORD60